rnacentral:rRNA from 1 species
CGUGCUUGAAUACAUGCAAGUCGAAACGCGAAAGGGGGCUUCGGCUCUGAGUAGCGUGGCGCACGGGUGAGUAACACGUAGGUAACCUACCUCUCAGCGGGGGGAUAAUCGCCCGAAAGGGCGUCUAAUACCGCAUAAGACCACAGGGACCUCGGUCCUAGGGGUUAAAGAUGGCCUCUGCAUGCAAGCUAUCACUGAGAGAUGGGCCUGCGGCGCAUCAGCUAGUUGGUGAGGUAACGGCUCACCAAGGCAUAGACGCGUAGCUGGUCUGAGAGGAUGAUCAGCCACACUGGAACUGAGACACGGUCCAGACUCCUACGGGAGGCAGCAGUAGGGAAUAUUGGACAAUGGGCGCAAGCCUGAUCCAGCAACGCCGCGUGGGUGACGAAGGCCUUCGGGUCGUAAAGCCCUGUGGGGAGGGACGAAAUCUCUCAGUUUAAUAAACUGAGGGGCUGACGGUACCUCCUUAGCAAGCACCGGCUAACCACGUGCCAGCAGCCGCGGUAA